rnacentral:misc_RNA from 1 species
UAUCCAAAUUUGGCUUGCGGUAGCAAUGGCUACGCAGUAUUUAGGCCUUCAAAUGGACACUGAAGGAGCUUCCAAACGAAAUUACCCUGCAAAUUUGUGGGUCAUUGGCCACUGUAAUAAUGUAUUAGGGGAAAUUGUUGGGUCUUGGAUUUGGAGUGACGUUGUAAUCCUUUCAUAAGCUUUAACAUUUUGUAGAGUGUUGCUGCCUUU